UACAGAGGGUGCGAGCGUUGUUCGGAAUUAUUGGGCGUAAAGGGCGCGUAGGCGGCUUAUCAAGUCAGGCGUGAAAUUCCCGGGCUCAACCUGGGGGCUGCGCUUGAUACUGAUUGGCUUGAAUGCGGGAGAGGAUAGUGGAAUUCCCAGUGUAGAGGUGAAAUUCGUAGAUAUUGGGAAGAACACCGGUGGCGAAGGCGGCUAUCUGGCCCGUAAUUGACGCUGAGGCGCGAAAGCGUGGGGAGCAAACAGG
rnacentral:rRNA from 1 species